GCGGAUGUGGUGUACGGUGCACCGCUGCUCUAUAUUGCUCUCAUUAGAUUUAGUUGAGUGAAGCAGUUAUCGGGGUUCGACUCCCUGCGUCUGUA